CCCUCCCGGCCUCUGCCUGUCCCGGGGGAGGCCGGAUCCUGGGCUGUGUCCCGGCGCCCUGUGCUCCGGAGCCUGCGCUGUUGGAUUCGAGCUCCCGGGCCGCGCAGCCCCCUCCGCGGAGCCGCCGCCCGAGCC
rnacentral:pre_miRNA from 1 species